UACAGAGGGGGCAAGCGUUGUUCGGAAUUACUGGGCGUAAAGGGCGCGUAGGCGGCCUGCUAAGUCGAUUGUGAAAUCCCCGGGCUUAACCUGGGAACUGCAGUCGAGACUGUCUAGCUAGAGUAUGGGAGAGGGAAGUGGAAUUUCAGGUGUAGCGGUGAAAUGCUUAGAUAUCUGAAGGAACAUCAGUGGCGAAAGCGACUUCCUGGACCAAUACUGACGCUCAUGUGCGAAAGCGUGGGGAGCAAACAGG
rnacentral:rRNA from 1 species